GAUGAACGCUAGCGGGAGGCCUAACACAUGCCAGCCGAGCGGUAUUGUUUCUUCGGAAAUGAGAGAGCGGCGUACGGGUGCGUAACACGUGUGCAACCUGCCUUUAUCUGGGGGAUAGCCUUUCGAAAGGAAGAUUAAUACUCCAUAAUAUAUUGAACGGCAUCGUUUAAUAUUGAAAGCUCCGGGGGAUAGAGAUGGGCACGCGCAAGAUUAGCUAGUUGGUGAGGUAACGGCUCACCAAGGCGAUGAUCUUUAGGGGGCCUGAGAGGGUGAUCCCCCACACUGGUACUGAGACACGGACCAGACUCCUACGGGAGGCAGCAGUGAGGAAUAUUGGUCAAUGGGUGCAAGCCUGAACCAGCCAUCCCGCGUGAAGGACGACUGCCCUAUGGGUUGUAAACUUCUUUUGUAUAGGGAUAAACCUACCCUCGAGAGGGUAGCUGAAGGUACUAUACGAAUAAGCACCGGCUAACUCCGUG
rnacentral:rRNA from 1 species